CGGGGUCAGAUUUGUGGCUUGAGAGUAGAGCGACUCAUUCAUGCUCCAGAUGCUUUAGGAUUUGUCUACACCUGUGCAAAGAGGCAGCAAUUUGCCUUAUUUCGGACACAAUACUUCAUUGGCUGUUAAAAGUGCAUCCACAAUGCCCACUGGAAUAUCAAUAGAAUUUGAUAACUCAAAAGCUGUGUUCUUUUCGGGACAGUCGGUAACAGGACGAGUUAGGGUUACCUGCGACAAACCAAAGUACUGUCGAGCAAUUGAGGUAGAGUUUCAAGGGUAUGGCAAAGUCCACUGGACAGAAAGAAGCAAAACUCAGAGGAAUGGCAAACAAAGAACAAAGACUGUCCAUUUUAAAAGUAAUGAGAGUUAUUACUUAAUGUCGUACAUCGUGUGGGGUAAUGGCACCACAGAGUCAGAGCUACCCCCAGGUACACACCUCUUCAAUUUCUCAUUCCUCCUUCCCCAUGGAAUUCCUUCGUCCUUUGAAUCACACAUCGGCAAAGUGCGUCACCAGUGCAAGGCGAAGAUGGAUAUACCGUGGAAGACGGAUAAGGUUUCGGUGAAAGCUUUCUCUGUCAACACCCUGUAUGAUCUGAACAUGGACCCUGAGGCAAAGGUGCCAAUAGAGUGUAGCAAACACGACUAUGCUUGCUGCCUCUUUUGCCGAAGUGGCCCAAUGUCCCUGGUGCUCCGCAUUGAUCGCUCGGGUUUUGUUCCUGGGGAAAAUAUUAUCGUUAAUGCUGAGUGUUCCAACAUGACCAAUGUCAAGAUUAACUACACAAAAGCAGUUGUGCAUCAGACCAUAACAUACCAUGCUGAAGGGAGAAAGAAGAAAGACCAUCGGAAGGUUGCUGAGCUCAAGCGCUUGGAAAUUCCACCUGGAGAAGAUGAUAACUGGAACAACGUUGAGAUGUUGAUUCCAGCACUGCCUCCCUCUCACCUACAGUUCUGCAACCUGAUUGACAUUGAUUACGAACUGAAGUUUGAAAUGUCCCCAUCUGGCUGCCACAUGGACCUAGAACACACAGCUCCUGUAAAGAUUGGCUCCAUACCUCUAGUGCAAUACUUUAGCAACUUUGUUCAAGGACCACCCACUAACUCAGCCCAACUCACGAAUCUGGCUUCAGUUCAGCCUCCAGUGCCUGCUUAUGCCCCUCCUGGACAGCCCCCAUUGCCAAAUUAUUCUCCAGCACCAGGACAGCACCCAGGGGUUGGCUGUGCUGCUAUACCAGGUCAACAGCCAAUGCCAGGUCAACCUCCGAUGAUGAAUCCCCCUAUAGUACCAUAUCAGCCUCCAAUUCCAGGUCAAGAACCUAUGCCUGGUCAACCACCAGUGCCAGGGGAAUCACAAAUGCCAGGUCAGCCUCCAGUGCCUGGUACUGGGCCAGGUCAGUCUCCAGUGUUGGGCUUUGCUCCAUCCAUACCAGGUCAGCAAGCAGUCCAGAUGCCCUCCAACAAUCCAGCCCAGCCUAGCAUAGCAGUGUCCAAUGUGGAUCAGAAUACUUCACCAUACAACCCUAACUUCCAGCCAGCAUCUUACCCCAUACCAGGGUCACCAAGAUUUCCAGGAGUCCUACAUUAUCCUCAAAUGCCCUUACCAACAUACAACCAGUGUAUGUUUGGAACGACCAGCAUUGCGGAGAUUGAUAGUGAUGUUGAUGAUGGCCAGAAUCAUAAUGAAAUUGGAUUUGCACCUCAUUAUAUAUCGUAUAGUCUUGUAAACUCCAAGAGGCUCCAGUCAGCUGCUUCUGUGGGUGAUACCGGAGGAGGCAUGGAUGGCAUAACCAGUGGAGUGAGUGACCUACAUAUUCGUCGUGAUAGUGGGAGCAGUGGUUCUAGUGGAGACCAUUACCGUGGAGGUUACCAGGCACAUAUCUGACUUCAGAAGAACACGAUAAGGGAAUAGCAUUCCUUUCUUUGGGAGUAUGUAAGUGCAGCAUGUAAAAGGAGACCAGUUAUGGUUCUUUUUGAAAAAAACAAAAAAACAAUAGAAACUUUUAACACAGAUGAAUGCUCUAACAGAAUGAAAAUUUAUUAAUAUAGGUACAAAUAUCAUUGAAUAUAACUUAACCCCCAAAGUAUAUGUGUGGAGUUUUUAAAACUGAAAUUGAUUUUCUGUAUCAGAACACGGAUCAGAAAGCUGUGCAUCAGGAAGGCAUAUAGUGAAGGUCAUGAUUCAAUAUUUAUUUUAUUUUAGGAAAAAAUGUUUGUCACUUAAAGCUGAACAGAUAAUGGAGAUUCAGCCAUAGAAACACUGAGACAAUCCUUCACAUGUUUUCUUUUUGGGUUGCCAUAUGGAACUACAGUAAUUAUAUUAUUUUUUUCUCUUUUUCUGACCAUUUUGAUUAGAUUAGUAUGUAUAAUACUUUUACAAGUAUUAUACAGUUUAUUCAUUGUUUUUAUUAGAUACGGAAUAUUGAUCUAAUGAUGUAAUUGCAUUUUACCACAGCCAAUAUUAAUUUGAUUAUAAUAUAUGAAUUAAUUUCAUUGAUAAAACAAAUAUAUUUUGUACUGAGUGUAUACCUUAAUAUGGUACACAAACUGACUAUGUAACGGGAAUGGAAAAUAGAUUCCUUUUUUAGAUCUAAAUUUUCAACAUUCCUUGGCUGAAUGCUUUCCUCCAUGCUUAAGUAAUUUGCAUAAAGUAAUAAAGCUGCAUAGUAUAACAUUAUGGGAUAUAUUCUUUGUUGUAUCUUAAGUAGUUUUGUACUUUGGGGGUUGAUUCAUUAGCUGUUGAGAAGAGAUAUUUGCAUCCUUCAAAGUGAAAAGAAAGUAAAAAGCCUUAGUAGGAAAUAAUAAUCUUUUUACGUACAGAUUUAGGAUUUGUUUUAAAGUAACCCCGUGAUGGCUGGGAGAAGAUAAACCAUCCCCAGGUGUGUCCUCAAUGGUUAAGACAAGAUUAGAGAUCAAUAUUUGCAUAUAUCAUGUGUGUGACUGCAGAUUUUUGUAUAUUUUCAUGGCUUGUCUCAUGGUCACUGGCAGUGAAUAAAACAUUACUUAUCAUUUCUUAUUUAUAUUUUGCACUUGUUACUUGUUUAUAUUUAUAUCAUUCACAGAAUUCUUUUUAAUUUAUGUGUAAACUAUCCCUUCAACCAAGACUGAUAAGUAAUAAUAGUUUUUAUUUCUUUUUUACAUUCAUUACAAUACAAUAGUAUUGAUCAAAAAAUCUUGGGGAGGUAAAGUUCUUCAGGAUCCAGUCACAGAUUGCAGUGAAGUCAUACUCUUGCCAUACCUACAAUACUAAGGCUAAUGUGCACCUGUGUAAUUUUUAAUGAGAUAAAGAGCAGCUGCUCACCGCCACAGCAUGAGGCAUCAUCUGCAUGAUAGCUUAGGGGAUGCACCACUCAUUGUCCACCAUCAAGAGCAUCACUCUAACUCAGACUCAGACAGCGAGAGACCAGCAGAGGCAGCACUCACUAAAGAUACUGGCUUCAAUACCAAGGACACUGAGACCAACACCAAUGACAGUGAUAAAGAUACUGAUGCCAACAAGGAUACUGGCAACAAUACUAGGGAUGGUGAUGCCAAGGAGGAGGAACCUAAGACUGAGGAGAAAGUAGAAGAUGCUGCAGAACCUGAGGAGAGCAAAGAAUAAUGUCAUGGAGAAUUGUUAUCCCAGGCAGUACCAGCAGGAGGCACUCUUGAUGCUCCUGCUUGUUCUUAAAGAGACAUUAUCCUUUUUUUGUAUGCUCAGUCAUCUCACAAGGUGCACCAUUUUCUGCCUUCUGGUCUAGUUUGAUGUCCAGCCACUUUGUAAAACACUUCAUCUCAAACAAACAUGAUAGCUUCCUCUUUAUUGGUGUCAUAAAUCCUGAUUUUAUAUACCCACACUUUCCAUUUAUAGUAGACAAUAUUGGCUCAUAGAUGUAGCUGGGAAGAAUUUGUUGUAGGGUAAUGGUAAUGACUUUGAGUCUGCUGCAGGUGUUUAUGAGGCACCUGAAUGGAAUCAUUACAUUCUACUGACUGUGCCUAGGUUUUCUUAGCCCUGGAUGAAGACUUCAUGGUAAAAUACUGAUGAUGUAGUGUCAUUGAGGUGUAGUAGCACAGGUGUGGCUGGCAGUCAAGAUAAGUUGCAAUAUGUUCAUGCACACAGUGAAAGUCUACUCUAAGUAUGGCUUAAGGAGAAUGGAAUAUACAUGCUUAUCUACAGUUGACAAUGUGACUAUUCCUUUACCUUGGUGAGCAAUAUAUUUUUUUUCUCUCCAAGAAGAAGCAUAGAAGCAAAAGCUUAACAGCACAUGCAAAAGUGAUAUCCAUAUGCUUUAAUGAAAUAUCCUAAUUUAAUAAACCUGGGUUUUACU